AUUGAACGCUGGCGGCAGGCCUAACACAUGCAAGUCGCACGAGUGGCGGACGGGUGAGUCAUGUCUGGGAAACUGCCCGCUGGAGGGGGAUAACUACUGGAAACGGUAGCUAAUACCGCCUACCAUCGGAUGUGCCCCGAUGGGAUUAGCUCGUAGGUGGGGUAACGGCUCACCUAGGCGACGAUCCCUAGCUGGUCUGAGAGGAGGACCAGACAGACUGGAACUGAUAAAAGGUCCAGAAGCCAACGGGAGGCAGCAGUGGGGAAUAUUGCAGAAUGGGCGCAAGCCUGAGGCAGCCAUGCCGCGUGGAUGAAGAAGGCCUUAGGGUUGGAAAGUACUUUCAGCGAGGAGGCGUUACUCGCAGAAGAAGCACCGGCUAACUCCGUGCCAGCAGCCGCGGUAAUUC
rnacentral:rRNA from 1 species